UGUCUGUGAAGGAAAUCAAUUCAUGGGUUAUAACUUUGAAUAUUAAAUACUGAUAUUAAAUUCUAAGAGUAGAUUUUAAACACUUUAUGGUUAGUUUUUGACUCUUAAACUCCUCCUUGUCAGGUGACUCAUGAAAGUGAAACUAUUACAGCGGGUCUGUUUUAUCGUAUGAGGAAGUGAACUACAUUAAGAGAGAAAAACACAAUGAAACCAUGGCCUCCAGAAUGAAUCUCUCUGAAGAACAUGACACACAGAUAAAGACAGUCAAGAGUCAGAUUCAGGGGCGUGAAUCAGAUUUAUCUAAACACAUGGAUGUGUCUGUGAGGAAAAAACGACGGAUGGAUGUUUCAGAUCUCUGCAGAGAGGAAGACUCUUCUGUUGAGUCCAGUCUGUGUCAGAAUGAAUCUCCUGAACCCAGCUGUGUGUCCAUCAAGAGUGACCAGUCAAUGGAUCCUCCU